AGUUUUGUAGUUUAUAAAAACAUAAAAUUGCAAAUUUUAAAAAAAAGAAUACUUUCAAGACUU
rnacentral:tRNA from 1 species